UGGCUUUGACACUGUCUCACACUCCUGCAAACAUGCUAAUAGACUCCAGCAGCCGCUCUCCCUGAAGAACACUGCAGGAGGGGAAACGGGCCCAAUGCCAACUGCCCCUGCCUUGUUCCUCUCUACCGAAAGCAGGUAAGAAAUAGAACUAUGACCUCCAACCCUGAAGAUUAUAUUCUGAUCUGCUGUCCAAAAAGUAUGUGCUCUCAGAGUGUUUUAUCCAGAGAUGGGAAUGCUUUUGCCAUAUCACUAAAUGACCACUUUUAGAACAGCUUCUCUUCAUUAAAAUUCCAGCAUACCAAUUAGCAGGAGCAAAGGAGGGCCAGCCUGGGAUGAAGGAGACAUCAGAGACAUCCGUGUCCCUGAAAUUCUAACAGUGCUCAGAAGCCUGGGCUUUACACCAUCAUCUGAAGAGCUGCGAGACCAAGGGUAAUGCUUGUAAAAUACUCUUUGCUGCUGAUGAAAAUAUAUGGCACUUCAAAAUAGCCUGCUUCAUGGAAAAACAAUCUGCUACAUUCCAAAUUCUGAAUACAGCUAACAUUGAAAUAAAAACUGUCUGGAUUAACUGUUGGAAUAAGAGAGAGCUUAUUUCAUCCUGUCCCUGCCUGUCUGGAAACUGGUAACCAUCUUUUAAGGUGCAGCUCAGACAUUACCUUGCCAUUAUGCAAUAU